GUCUAGUAUAAUCGUUAUACAGGUGAAACUGCGAAUGGCUCAUUAAAUCAGUUAUAAUUUAUUUGAUAGUACCUUACUACUUGGAUAACCGUGGUAAUUCUAGAGCUAAUACAUGCUAAAACCUCCGACUUCUGGAAGGGGGUGUAUUAUAGUUAGACGUA
rnacentral:rRNA from 1 species